GGAAAGCAAUCGUGUCCGGUGGCACGGCUGGGCUUCAAACCCAGUUGGGGGCGUCAGACGUUCCUGGGUAGGUUCGACUCCUGCUGCUUUCCGCCA
rnacentral:tRNA from 1 species